UACGUAGGGUGCGAGCGUUAAGCGGAAUUACUGGGCGUAAAGCGUGCGCAGGCGGUUUUGUAAGACAGAGGUGAAAUCCCCGGGCUUAACCUGGGAACUGCCUUUGUGACUGCAAGGCUUGAGUGCGGCAGAGGGGGAUGGAACUCCGCGUGUAGCAGUGAAAUGCGUAGAUAUGCGGAGGAACACCGAUGGCGAAGGCAAUCCCCUGGGCCUGCACUGACGCUCAUGCACGAAAGCGUGGGGAGCAAACAGG
rnacentral:rRNA from 1 species